rnacentral:pre_miRNA from 1 species
CGGCUCGGCGUCACGGGCCAUCGCGGGACCGCCCCUGUGGGUGGCGGUGGGAUCCCCGCGUGGUUUUCCCGGUGGCCCGAAGCGG